CCGGAUUUUAUCAACAGCAUGAAUAUACUUCAACAAAAGAAAUAAAUUUGGAGUGAAUUUUUCUUUACUGGUUGAAAUUUUUCAUUUCAUUUCGGUCACAAAUACUGCAUUUCGGGAACCAACUGCCUCUUUUAUUAGUGCUCCGCAUUCUGGGAAAGAACUGCCGCCAUCACUGGAACCAACUGUCUACUUUAUUAGUGUGAAGGUACAUUAAUGGAGGAGACAGUUGGUUUCCGAAAUACAGAAUUUGUGAUUUCAAAGAAAAUUUUGGCCAAUAAGGGAAAAUUCUCCCCGAAUUUGUUCCUUCUGUUGAACCACUGGCUAAGAACAAUGCUCCAAAAUCCAACUAUGAUGAUUGUGCUUACUUAAACAGUCAUUGUUAUCAUCAAGAACCUAAAUAGUAUCACGAUUUGCUAAUUCAAAAUGAAUUCAGGACUAAAGUGCGGCACUUUCAAUUGUCCCACGUUGGGCGCCGUUUGUGGCAAAACCCACUCAGCUUUACUAUUGAACGGGGAUCUACCUCCUUUCCAAGGAUGAUGAGGAAGAAGUUGGACAUUGGUCUUUUACAUGACCUAUUCGGCAGACUGGCUUCGUCUUGCUUCGUUGCAGACUAAACUAUUUAAAAGAAUCAAAUUCGACAAGAAUUUUUCUUCCCUCCUUUUGAAGUGAGAUACUGUAUUUCGGGAACCAAGUGGCCUCUUGGACUUCUGUCCAGAAGUCACAAAUACUGUAUUUCGGGAAACAACUGUCAUUCCCAUCAGUAUGCUCCUUCCUCCGCACAGAAGAGAUCAUACUUAUGAAGGAAAAAUUGGUUCCCGAAAUACAGUAUUUGUUAAUUCAAGUAAGAUUCUUAGCCAAUAAAGGAAAAUUCUCUUCGAAUUUGUAUCUUUUUUGUUUAACUAUUGGCUAACAGACGACCUUUAAAUUUUAACUAUAACCUAUAAUGGAGUUUUUGUCCCCAAGUAGAAAUUGGCACUAUCAACGGAUGCAUUUCUUGUGGAUAAGCAUAAUAUCAAAAGGACGAGGAUAGUGUCUUUGAGUCCUGCCAAAUAAGGACGAUAUAGCAGUAGAUACCGCUAGAGUCUAGACCUGGUCACUUGAUUUAACAAAGAACUCCACAUGUUUGGAAGUACACCACCCCACAGUCCGGGAAUUCUCCAAAAUAUGGGCACAUGCAUCUGCACAUACGCAGUCAAUUGAAGUAUUCAUACAACAUUAAGCCAGAUCCAUUUCAAAAUGGUAUUGAAAUUCCUUCAAUUGAACCAUUUGUUUAGUAAACAAUGCACAAAUAUAUACCGUAUACGGAUUGCAAAAUGACAUGUGAAUUAAAAAUGACUGAACGUGAUUUUCGAAAGACAUAAACAAACUUUUAGCCGGCAAGAUACAAUACGGUACAAUAUGCAUUUUAUUAAGUAUCUGAUUUUAUUUUCAUUGUGCAGUAAUUCGAUAUGAUGAAAUUACGUGUAAAGACAAUUGUACAUAUACGAUUUGAUACAUAGGCUAGACGCUAGGCUCGUAGAUGUAUAGGUAUAGAUACAAUAUAUAGAUGGCUCGUGAAGUACUUUUCUAUGGCAUAAAUACUAGUAACUGACCUUUGUGAAUUUUCUCCGAUUAAGUAUUGUACAAUGUGUAAUUCAAAGAAAAAACUUGACCUUUAUAAAGGUGGGCAUUGCUGAAAUGGAUACACAUCCACGCAUUACCUAAAUGCAAGUAUGUUUGUAGCAAUGUGCGUACAAUAUGGAAUAUAGGCAACCAUUUUGAUAUUUGUACGGGCAAUUAAUAGAAUGAAUUCAAAUUAACUAGAAAAAGAAGUUCAAGCAGUGAGAACUUUUUUGGUCGCAAUUGGAGUAUCUGAAACUUGAACUGCACGAUAUUCUCCUGAUUCCAAGAGAGAACAAUGUUUUAGAAAUAAUUUUCUAAUUAAAUUUUUUAAAAUUUUAAUAAUUGUGGAUUCAGAUAGGUUAUGAAGGUCCUGGGGGUUAACGUGAGUAUCUGCCGUGUAGGUAUUAGGUUGUUGCACAUGAAAUGGCCGAUGUGGCAAUUAAGUGAUGCUAGUUGCGAUUUUGCUGUAUCAAAUCAUCACCAGUUAGCGCUGUUGGUCUCGAAUAAUGAUGUAUAAAUACUCUUACAUUUAAUCAAGGAGUCAUUUCAGUUUUGACCAUCGUUGUGAAAACAGUGAAUAAAAAGGAAAAAAGGAUGGAAAAGGGCCAAGAACGUAUACUUUUCCUGUAUGAGUUCAAACUC
rnacentral:lncRNA from 1 species